rnacentral:rRNA from 1 species
GACGAACGCUGGCGGCGUGCUUAACACAUGCAAGUCGAGCGAGUGGAUUCCCUUCGGGGAUGAAGCUAGCGGCGGACGGGUGAGUAACACGUGGGCAACCUGCCUUAUAGAGGGGGAUAGCCUUCCGAAAGGAAGAUUAAUACCUCAUAACAUCAGAUUAUCGCAUGGUAGACUGAUCAAAGGAGCAAUCCGCUAUAAGAUGGGCCCGCGUCGCAUUAGCUAGUUGGUGAGGUAACGGCUCACCAAGGCGACGAUGCGUAGCCGACCUGAGAGGGUGAUCGGCCACAUUGGGACUGAGACACGGCCCAGACUCCUACGGGAGGCAGCAGUGGGGAAUAUUGCACAAUGGGGGAAACCCUGAUGCAGCAACGCCGCGUGAGUGAUGAAGGCCUUCGGGUUGUAAAAUUCUUUCACCGGGGACGAUAAUGACGGUACCCGGAGAAGAAGCCCCGGCUAACUUCGUGCCAGCAGCCGCCGUAAUAC